GUUGGUUUCAGUUGGCGCAAUCGGAAAUUGUCGUCGCUGCCACUUGAGGUGGCUGCCGGGCUACCGUUGAACCGGUUCAGAGACCGCCGCUGUUCCGGUUCAGUUGUUCCUUCUUCAUUCGAGUUGUUGAGAUUGUUGCGAACGUGACUGGAAUUGAGGCGGAAAGGACUCUGUGAGACGUUUGGGUUAUGGAAUUGCGUUUUGAGGUAGGGGCGCUUUCCAAAAACUAUAUUUUAUAUGUCGGAGUUAUUACAUAUGGAUACUGAUGUGAGAUAAUGUAUUUGGUGAUUGUAUAAGCCUUAUGUGAUGUUGAUUAUCCUAGAUGAAUGUAAUUAUAUGUUUGAAUGGAUUAUUAUUUGGUUUUGAUGAACGGAUUGUUGUGUGGUUUUG